rnacentral:rRNA from 1 species
UACGUAGGGACCAAGCGUUGUUCGGAUUUACUGGGCGUAAAGGGCGCGUAGGCGGCUUGUCAAGUCACUUGUGAAAUCUCUGGGCUUAACCCAGAACGGCCAAGUGAAACUGACAUGCUAGAGUGCAGAAGGGGCAAUCGGGAAUUCUUGGUGUAGCGGUGAAAUGCGUAGAUAUCAAGAGGAACACCUGAGGUGAAGACGGGUUGCUGGGCUGACACUGACGCUGAGGCGCGAAAGCCAGGGGAGGCAAACGGG